CUCUUUGUCUUCUAUAUAUGAGAAGUCUGAAAAAAGCAACAGUUCAAGUGCAUCGACUGUAAUCUUUCAUGAGUUCCCUAACAAGAAACAAAGAAAAGAGGACACAUCUGCACUGUCUGCAAAACAGGCAACUCCCUACUUAAGCUAUCAGAGAACAGUAUGCUCUUGGCAUAGUGAUAGUGUUCCCUCAAAGAUCCAUAUUCCAAGAAAGGCUACGAACACUUUUAUGAUGCUGCAAGCAACAUAGGAUACAUUGCUUGGCAUAUGAAAA